rnacentral:rRNA from 1 species
CCUACGGGAGGCAGCAGUGGGGAAUCUUGCGCAAUGGGCGAAAGCCUGACGCAGCAACGCCGCGUGCGGGAAGAAGGCUUUCGGGCUGUAAACCGCUUUCAGCAGGAACGAAAAUGACGGUACCUGCAGAAGAAGGAGCGGCCAACUAUGUGCCAGCAGCCGCGGUGAUACAUAGGCUUCAAGCGUUGUCCGGAUUUAUUGGGCGUAAAGAGUUCGUAGGCGGUCAAGUAAGUCGGGUGUGAAAAUUCUGGGCUCAACCCAGAGACGCCACCCGAUACUGCUUAACUUGAGUUCGAUAGGGGAGUGGGGAAUUCCUAGUGUAGCGGUGAAAUGCGCAGAUAUUAGGAGGAACACCGGUGGCGAAGGCGCCACUCUGGAUCGAUACUGACGCUGAGGAACGAAAGCAUGGGUAGCAAACAGGAUUAGAUACCCUGGUAGUCCAUGCCGUAAACGGUGGGCACUAGGUGUGGGUUUCUAUUAACGAAAUCCGCGCCGUCGCUAACGCAUUAAGUGCCCCGCCUGGGGAGUCGGUCGCAAGACUAAAACUCAAAGGAUUGACGG